AGAGGUGUAGCAUAUAAAAUGUAUUUCAUUUACUCUGAAUAAGAUCUUUUAAAUAAAAAGCACUUCAA
rnacentral:tRNA from 1 species